ensembl:snoRNA
UGUUAUUAAAAUAAAGGGUCAAUGGUUCCUUGUCUUUGGACACAUAAGAAUUGGAGGAAAGGAAAUGUGGAUUUGGAGAAGUCUGGGGCCAGCUUGCUCUUUGCAGACUCAGAUCAAUCAUCCCACAUAG